rnacentral:rRNA from 1 species
AUUGAACGCUGGCGGCAUGCCUAACACAUGCAAGUCGGACGAGUGGCGGACGGGUGAGUAAUGUAUGGGAACGUGCCUAAUAUAGGGGGAUAACUGUUGGAAAGGAUAGCUAAUACCGCAUACUAUUCGCUUGGCCGAUGUGUGAUUAGCUGGUGGGUGGGGUAAAGGCCAACCAAGGCGACGAUCCCUAGCGGGGCUGAGAGGAUGACCCGCCACACUGGAACUGAGACACGGUCCAGACUCCUACGGGAGGCAGCAGUGGGGAAUUUUGGACAAUGGGCGCAAGUCUGAUGCAGCCAUGCCGCGUGUAUGAAGAAGGCCUUCGGGUUGUAAAGUACUUUUGUCAGGGAAGCGUUACCUGAAGAAUAAGCACCGGCUAACUACGUGCCAGCAGCCGCGGUAAUAC